rnacentral:rRNA from 1 species
GAUGAACGCUAGCGGGAGGCCUAACACAUGCAAGCCGAGCGGUAGAGUUUCUUCGGAAACUUGAGAGCGGCGCACGGGUGCGUAACACGUGUGCAACCUACCUUUAUCUGGGGGAUAGCCUUUCGAAAGGAAGAUUAAUACCCCAUAAUAUAAUGAUUGGCAUCAAUUAUUAUUGAAAACUCCGGUGGAUAGAGAUGGGCACGCGCAAGAUUAGAUAGUUGGUGAGGUAACGGCUCACCAAGUCAAUGAUCUUUAGGGGUCCUGAGAGGGAGAUCCCCCACACUGGUACUGCGACACGGACCAGACUCCUACGGGAGGCAGCAGUGAGGAAUAUUGGACACUGGGUGAGAGCCUGAUCCAGCCAUCCCGCGUGAAGGAUGACGGUCCUAUGGAUUGUAAACUUCUUUUGUACAGGGAUAAACCUACCCUCGUGAGGGUAGCUGAAGGUACUGUACGAAUAAGCGCCGGCUAACUCCGUG